GAUGAACGCUGGCGGCGUGCUUAACACAUGCAAGUCGAGCGAGAAACUACAUGCAGACACUUCGGUAGAAGCGAGUAGCGGAAAGCGGCGGACGGGUGAGUAACGCGUAGGCAACCUGCCCUUCACAGAGGUAUAGCCUCGGGAAACCGGGAUUAAAACCACAUAAAAUCAUAGGUUCGCAUGAGCCAAAGGUCAAAGAUUUAUCGGUGAAGGAUGGGCCUGCGUCUGAUUAGCUGGUUGGUAGGGUAAAAGCCUACCAAGGCGACGAUCAGUAGCCGACCUGAGAGGGUGAUCGGCCACAUUGGAACUGAGACACGGUCCAAACUCCUACGGGAGGCAGCAGUGGGGGAUAUUGCACAAUGGGGGAAACCCUGAUGCAGCAACGCCGCGUGAGGUAUGAAGGCCUUUGGGUUGUAAGCCUCUGUCCUAGGGGAAGAAAAAAAUGACGGUACCCGAGGAGGAAGCCCC
rnacentral:rRNA from 1 species